rnacentral:lncRNA from 1 species
UGAGAUUUGUGAGUUAGGCCCAAGACCUAAUUUCACAAGUAGUUUGCAGAAAUAAAAAACAGAGACUAUGCACACUGCUUACUGCACAUGUAAGAAGAAGGAGAAGAAAAAACGUACUGAAAAAUGUACCUGCUGAAGGCUGCGAAGCAGAGAAGAAAGAAGAACAGAAGAAAAAAGAAGAAGAAGUACCUGGUGAUAGUCGCGAAGCUGGA